AAAGUUGUUGCGGUUAAAAAGCUCGUAGUCGGAGGUGUGUCUCGGACGGUCGGUUCGCCGCUUGUCGGUGCUCAACUGGCCGGUCCGGACGUCCUGCCGGUGGGGCCGCGAGGCUCCGUUAUCCUUCUUUGGUCCUCUUCACCGAGUGCCUUGGUGGGCCGGCACGUUUACUUUGAACAAAUUAGAGUGCUCAAAGCAGGCCGUUGGUCGCCUGAAUACUGUGUGCAUGGAAUAAUGGAAUAGGACCUCGGUUCCAUUUUGUUGGUUUUCAGAACUCGAGGUAAUGAUUAAUAGGGACGGACGGGGGCAUUCGUAUUGCGACGUUAGAGGUGAAAUUCUUGGAUCGUCGCAAGACGAACCGAUGCGAAAGCAUUUGCCAAGAACGUUUUCGUUGAUCAAGAACGAAAGUUAGAGGUUCGAAGGCGAUCAGAUACCGCCCUAGUUCUAACCAUAAACGAUGCCAGCUAGCCAUCCGCCGAAGUUCCUUCUAUGACUCGGCGGGCAGCUUCCGGGAAACCAAAGCUCUUGGGUUCCGGGGGAAGUAUGGUUGCAAAGCUCAAACUUAAAGGAAUNGNCGGA
rnacentral:rRNA from 1 species